rnacentral:lncRNA from 1 species
GUCGUGGCCCUCCGCGAUUGGCCAGCGUCGCGUGACGCACGGCCGAGCUCGGCGUCCAUUGGUCCGGCCUGCCCGGCGGGGCGUUUCAGGACCGUGGCUAUGGAGUCCGGCGUGGCAGCGGCAAUCCCUGGCCAAAGUGUGCCUUCAGCCAAAAGCAGAACUGGAAACAUCCUAAGUGGGCCGGUAACGAGGCUAGCUCUGUCGACUAGUUCAAGACCCCUGAGCGCUUUGGGCCUGAGGUUCCUCAGCUUCCAAGUGAAAGGCUUCGACUUGGCAUUCUAAGAGACAAUCUCUGUGACCAUCAGUUUCCUCAUCUGUAAAACUGGCAUCAUGAUAACUUUGAAGGUUUUAUUCUGGGCAUAUAUAUGUUUGGAGGUGUGUGUAUGUUUGGGGAACCUUUGAAUUUGGAAGUACCAAGGUGAGGAGAGACUUAUGGAAUUUAGAAGCUUUGGCAGGAACUAAGCACUGUGUUUCUUAGAAUGAGCAGCUCUUUCUACUUGAAAGGCUGAGGCAGAGGAUCGCUUGAUCCCAGGGAUUUGAAGCUGGCUGCAGUGAGCUAUGAUCACACCACUACUCUCCAGCCUAGGUGACACAGCAAGACUCUGUAAAAAAUGAAGAAGAAGAAAGAAGAAGAAGAAGAAGAAGAAGAAGAAGAGGAAGAGGAAGAGGAAGAAGAAGAAGAAGAAGAAGAAGAAGAAGAAGAAGAAGAAGAAGAAGAAGAAGAAGAAGAAGAAGAACAGGCCAUGUGAGGUUGCCACACCUGUAAUCCUAGCACAUUGGGAGGCUGAGGUGGGAAGAUCACUUGAGGUCAGGAGUUCGAGACCAGUCUGGCCAACAUGGUGAAACCCUGUCUCUAAUAAAAAUACAAAAAUUAGUCAGGUAUGGUAAUGGGUGCCUGUAGUCCCAGCUACGUGGGAGGCUGAGGCAGCAGAAUCACUUGAACCUGGGUGGCAGAGGUUGCAGUGAACCAAGAUCAUGCCACUGUACUCCAGCCUGGGUGACAGAGUAAGACUCUAUCUCAAAAACAACAACAACAAACAAACAAAAAUAGUUCCUUAAGGUGAGAGACAAAUUUAUCAAAUAAAAUGUAAAAGCCA